rnacentral:rRNA from 1 species
GCCUGUUUAUCAAAAACAUUUCUAGCUCGAGUAGUUAGUAUGGCCUGCCCACUGUUUUUAUAAAGGGCUGCAGUAUUUUGACUGUGCAAAGGUAGCAUAGUAGAUUGCCUUUUAAAAGGGGGCUUGUAUGAAAGGUCUAACAAGGUUAAAGCUGUUCCCUGACCUUUUUUUAAUUUAUAGUUACUGUAAAAAUUCAGUAAUCCGACUAAGGGACGAUAAGACCCUAUAAAUUUUAGUAGUUUAGUGUCGUGUUAAGAAAGUUAGACAGCUUUCUACUUGGUUGGGGCAACAUAAAUAAAUAAAUUAUUAUUUUUUAAACAAGGUUAUUGAAAGAAAGAGCCGGUUUACCCCGUGCAAAAAGAAACAAAUACUUUAGGGAUAACAGCGUUAUUGUCUCGGAGAGUUCAAAUCUAUGGGACAGAUUACGACCUCGAUGUUGAAUUAAGAUAACUUCUAGGUGUAGCAGUUUAGAGAUGUUAGCCUGUUCGGCUAUAUUAUUCUUACGUGAUCUGAGUUCAGACC